GACGAACGCUGGCGGCGUGCUUAACACAUGCAAGUCGAACGGAAAGGCCCUGCUUUUGUGGGGUGCUCGAGUGGCGAACGGGUGAGUAACACGUGAGUAACCUGCCCUUGACUUUGGGAUAACUUCAGGAAACUGGGGCUAAUACCGGAUAGGAUCUCCUGCUGCAUGGUGGGGGUUGGAAAGUUUCGGCGGUUGGGGAUGGACUCGCGGCUUAUCGGCUUGUUGGUGGGGUAGUGGCUUACCAAGGCUUUGACGGGUAGCCGGCCUGGGAGGGUGACCGGGCACAUAGGGACUGAGAUACGGCCCAGAGGCCUACGGGGGGCAACGGUGGAAAAUUGUGCACAAUGGGCGGAGUGGUGGUGGAGCGACGUCGCGUGCGAGAUGACGGCUGUCGGGUUGUAAACCGCUUUCGCCUGUGACGAGGCGUGAGGGAGGGUAAUAGGUAAAGAGGCACCGGCUAACUACGG
rnacentral:rRNA from 1 species